CCUAUAGUACACUAACAGCAUUAACUGUGACACCCUUCAGGUAACAGCAUUAAAGAAAACAUAAAGCUGAACAUCAUGGCACAUGCCUGUGAUCACCACAGAGGCAAGAGGAUCUCUGUGAGUUUGAGGAACUGUGGUACAGUUUUUUACAUAGCAAAAAUACUAAGCUGAGAUGGUGACCCAUGUCAUUAACCCAAGCACUCAAGAGGCAGAGACAAGUGGAUCUUCCAGGCCAGCCAGGGCCAUGUAGUAAGACCAUGCCUCAAAAAGAAAGAAGAAAAAAGGAAAGGGGGA